rnacentral:rRNA from 1 species
UACGUAGGGUGCGAGCGUUAAUCGGAAUUACUGGGCGUAAAGUGUGCGCAGGCGGCCGAGCAAGUCGAGUGUGAAAGCCCCGAGCUUAACUUGGGAACUGCGCUCGAAACUACUUGGCUAGAGUGUGGCAGAGGGAGGUGGAAUUCCACGUGUAGCGGUGAAAUGCGUAGAGAUGUGGAGGAACACCGGUGGCGAAGGCGGCGACCUGGGUAGAUACUGACGCUGAGGUGCGAAAGCGUGGGGAGCAAACAGG